AUACAUAUCUCGUCCUUUUGGCUAAGAUAAAGUGUAAUGUAAUAUUUGUUUUUAUCAGUUUAAUAUCUAAUAUGUAGAUCAUAUGUUCACUUUAAUAUUAAAUUUAUUUUUUUAUAGGUAUCAAAUAUGAUUGUGUCGUCGCAGCGCAC
rnacentral:snRNA from 1 species